CCGCAAUGGAGAAUGCUGCGCGCCUGCCAAGUUGGUUUGAAAAGAUCAGACAAAGGCCGCAGGAAGCCCUCCGGCUGCCGGGCGUGAGAGCUCCGAUGGGGGCUGGGAGGGUAGCGGUAAUUAAAAAAACACAGGUCGGCAGGCCCGCGGCUUUCUAUCAGCGUACGAUUCUCUCUGGCUUUCAAAGUGAUGCGAGGCUAGGUGAAGGCGGACGGGCGGCCGGGGUCGGGCCGAGUUUGGGAGCCGGCCUUUUGUGAUGCGCCGGGGCUGGGUGCUCGAAUCCGACUGCGCAACCAGGCGGGUCACGUGACGCGGCCCCGGGAUCGCGAGCGGAUCGAUUGGCGGAGGGAGGCAGCGAGAGCGAGCAGGGAGAAAGGAGCGAGGCCGGGGCCGGCGGCGGUGGCGGCGGGGGAGCAGCGCGGAAACAUGGAGACGCACAUCUCGUGUCUCUUCCCCGAGAUCCUGGCCAUGAUCUUCAGCUAUCUGGACGUGCGGGACAAAGGGCGAGCGGCGCAAGUGUGCACGGCUUGGAGGGACGCUGCCUAUCACAAAUCCGUUUGGAGAGGGGUUGAAGCCAAGUUGCAUUUGAGGAGAGCCAACCCUUCCCUUUUCCCUAGUCUGCAGGCGAGGGGCAUCAGGAGGGUGCAGAUUCUCAGCCUUCGGCGCAGCCUAAGCUAUGUGAUCCAAGGUAUGCCCAACAUUGAGAGCCUGAACCUGAGCGGCUGCUACAACUUGACGGACAUCGGCCUGGGGCACGCGUUCGUGCAAGAGAUCCCGUCCCUGAACGUACUGAACCUGAGCCUUUGCAAACAGAUCACCGACAGUAGCCUAGGUAGGAUCGCACAGUAUCUCAAAAAUCUGGAGGUGCUGGAGCUGGGCGGCUGCAGCAAUAUCACCAAUACAGGCCUCCUGUUGAUUGCCUGGGGCUUGCACAGACUCAAGAGCUUGAAUUUGAGGAGCUGCCGGCAUGUCUCGGAUGUAGGAAUCGGCCAUUUGGCAGGCAUGACUAGAAGCGCUGCGGAAGGCUGCUUAAACCUGGAAUAUCUGACUUUACAAGACUGUCAGAAACUCUCCGACCUCUCCUUAAAACACAUCUCCAAGGGCCUGACCAAACUCAAGGUACUGAAUUUGAGUUUCUGCGGUGGGAUUUCAGACGCGGGUAUGCUACAUCUUUCACACAUGACGAGUUUGUGGAGUCUCAACCUAAGGUCCUGUGAUAACAUCAGCGAUACCGGCAUUAUGCAUUUGGCCAUGGGCAGCUUGAGACUGAGUGGGUUGGACGUUUCCUUCUGCGAUAAGAUAGGCGACCAGAGCCUGGCUUAUAUCGCGCAAGGCUUGUAUCAGCUCAAAUCGCUUUCCCUUUGCUCCUGCCACAUAAGUGAUGACGGCAUCAACAAAAUGGCCCGGCAGAUGCACGAACUAAGGACCCUAAAUAUCGGUCAGUGUGUGCGGAUUACAGACAAAGGACUGGAACUCAUAGCUGACCAUUUGACCCAGCUGACGGGCAUUGAUCUCUAUGGCUGCACAAAAAUCACCAAAAGGGGUUUGGAAAGAAUAACGCAAUUGCCCUGCCUUAAAGUUCUUAACCUGGGACUCUGGCAAAUGACUGAAAGUGAAAAAGGGGAGCUCGUCAAGUGAAGACUCAUCGAUUCCCGAGGACCGAUUGCCUGUAAAAGGGCCAUGACGCAGAGACAGGCAGUUGCUGGAGGAAAAAGAGAGGAAAAAAAAAUAUCCUGCUGAUCAACCUAUAUUUGAAUUGUACUGUAUGUGAAUUUGUAAAUGAUACUUAAACGUUUUAUAUUCUUACAGUAAACGUUAAAAAGCUGAUAUUUAUAUAAUAAAGACGGGAAAAUAUGAAGUAUGUUUUGGAAAAAAAAAGUCAAGUGUCAGUGCCCAUUGUGUGAUCAUUUUGAAAAGUACGGUGGUAGAUGUGGGCCAAUGGCGUCCUGUCAGGGGCGAGAUGCAGCUUUGUGGAGCGCAGCGCUGAUCAGGUUUCCAAUUCCCCCGGAUGGGCUUGCUCUUAAACAUUGAAAAACAUCCCUUCCAAAAGGGAAGAAAAUGGUUGACAUUUCUAUGCACAAGGCUGAGGAUCAGCUAGGAAAGUUCAUUUAUGCUCAUGGCAGGCUUAAGUCCGUGCGAAGAGGCAGAAUCAUUUGAAAUUGACAUCCUUUAGUUCCUUACUCCUUAAAAAAAUAAACAAAUUGUGCAAUCUGAUCCAUUGCUAAUAAUUAUUUCUGCUAAAUUGCCAUUUCCUAUUGAAAAAUUUAAUGUGCUUUUUGAACAUGUCCAUUAACACCAAAAAUGUGUCAAGGCAUCUUGCAAGCACUACAGGUCAUCACUGAGAUUAAAAGGGCAAUGUGGCAUGGCAAUGAACGGAUUUUGGUAUUUACUGCUAUCCAUAAACUGCCUUACAGAGGGGUUUCAUGUCUGUCAAUUUUCAUUAUCCAAAGAUGGAUACAGAGAAAGCAAGAAGUUACUGGAUGAGCCACUGCUCGCUAAUCAUAGAUGAUAGCUGUGUUCAGUUUAGUAAUUCAUACCUAACUGUACCCCAUCCAAACUGAUGGGACUGUAGUGGUAUUUAUGUAAAGAUAUCACCCCAAUUUAAAACAAUUCAGUGCAUAAUAUGACCAUUGAAAUAUAACCAAGUCAAUUUUGUCACAUUAUCAACUUUCUGUGUAUAUUGUAACAAAGCCAGCAAAAUGCCCCCAUUUUAACCUGAUGAUAUUAAAAGUACAGUAUCAGUAUUUUAAGGAGAUAUGAAUUCUGAAGUUAAUACAUACAACUCAUUCUUUAAUUGACAAUAUUGCAUUCCAUGAUGCUGGGAGUAAACCUGAUCAUAACAGUAAUGUUUGGGUGUACUGUUACAUUAGUUGAGAUAUUACCUAUAAAAUUACAGAUUGGUCAUAACAUGGGAGGAAGCCAUUUGGUUUGUUGAGUUUGUACCAGCUCCAUAUAAAAAAAAAAUCCAGUUGGACCCACUUCCCUGUUCUCUCUUCAUUGCUCUGCAUAAAACACCUGAUGAUAACAUCUAUGAACGUUCAGAACUGAAUCUGCCCCCAUCAGUAUUGCUAAUGUCUUACAGCUCAGGCAACCUGAGUUUAAUCCUGAUCUUGCAAUGCCUCCUGUGUGGAGUCUAUACAUUCUCUCAGUGGUAAGAGUUAAUAGGCAUGAGAGAAAGAAUAGAGUACAAGGAUAUAAAUAGUAAAAUGGGAUUGAUAAGGUUGCUCUAAAAACUGACAUGGAAUCAAUGGACGCCUGUUAUAAGAAAAUUAGAAUUUUUUUUACAUUUACAAGAUCGUGCAUUUUAGAGGGUGUGAGGACAAUUACUUGUAAUGCUGAAAUCAAAUUGAGGUGUGUGCAUUAAUUAUCCAGUGAAAUUGCCCUGGCCAGAGGACAUGUGGUUAAUUACUCCAAAACAUGCAUUGUCACUUUUCCCAUUUUUAAUAAUUAAUAUUGAAAAAUAAUAUAGCAUCCUAGUCAUAAAGAUCUCAGUUUUUUAAAAAAAUGAGAUUAAUUUUUAUCAAUUGUCACCGAUCUCAUGAUUUGAAAACUGAAUUGAUGGUUAAUAUGAAAUGGUGGGAAAAAUCAUUCUGUUGUUUGUAGAUGUAAGCUUUUAUGUAACCCUGCUGAAAAGUCAACAAUUUUUAAUAUUAAGAGGGCAUGAUUUUCCAAGACAUCAAAAAAUGUUGAUUCAAGCACUAAUUUGGCAGAGCUUUCAAUUGUUUUCAUGCCUGCUCUAAUUAGAGAGAUUGCCAAUUGCCUGGCUGCCAUGUUUUUUUUCCCCAAGGAUUCCUAUCACCUUAGUCGAGCAAAUGCUAACCAUUCAUCAAAAAGUUAACCAGCUAAAUAAACUUCCAUAUUCUUUAUUGAACCAAGAAAUUUGAAUAUUGUUCAUUUUAUUUAAAUAUUUUCAAUAGACUGAUUGGAGGAAUAGAAGGUUAUAGUUAAAUAUGGCAGCAGAAUAUUUUUGUUUAUGAUAGAAAAGCAUAAUGCUGGAGAUGUAGAAAAUCUGAAACUGCCCUGUAAGUCAGGUAGUACCUUGGGAAAGAGAAAUUUAGUCUAUCAGGUCAUCAGAGUACAAAGGUUAUCAACCUGAACCAUUAAAUCCUUUACUCUCCUGGUCUAAGGUGUACACAAUUUUAUGUUUUUAUUCUUUGUUGUAAAGUAUGAUAGGAAUUUUGAACCAGUGGCUCUGAAAGCCAAAAAUAACAAUUUUUAAAAAGAAUAUGAUUUUCAAACAUACAGGGAGGAUAUUUCCUAAUAAUUUGUAAUGCAGGCAAGGCAGAAUCUGGUGUUCUUGUACACAUAUCACAUUGGUGUGAGAUCCUGAAGGAAUUCAGCUCAGAAGGAACAGUGUUGGGGGCCCCCAUUUGAUAGUUGAAGUGAGAAACAAAGUGGUUAAUCAAAAAAAAAUGGUGAGGAAGGAGAAAUGGAGUAAAAAUUAGUAGCUUCACAAUCUAGUAUUUUUAUAUUUGUGGGUUUUAUUAACACAUUAUAGCAACAUGGUUGUGAAGGUCACAGAAAUUCGCCCUUUCAGAGUUCACAAGUCAAUACCCAAAUCUCUGGGAUGCAGAGUAAAAUCCGCUCCCUCAGAUUGUGUGAAAAAAUGAAAAUAAAUGAACACAAUCCUUUUUCAAGCCAUGAUACAUGCCACGUGCAAAAGUGAUGUUGCUUUGUGCCAUGGAAAAUUAUGACAUAGGCCAUUUUGUAAGAAUUGAACCCCUAGCCACCCUGUUUCACAGGUCACCUUUCCUAAUGGAAGUUAGCGAAUAGGCACGGGCAAGUUCAUAGUUCAAAUAGCUAUAAAGAGAAUAAAUUAUCAGGUGAAAUAUAAAUAUCUGGUAAACCAUCCCCUUUUCACAGUAUUGGGCUGUAUUUAAUUAUCAGUAAAGGUUGUUACAACAUUCUGUGGACCGUAGUUCAGAUGUAACAAACUCUCUACUGAAUGGUUAUUUCAUGAUCAGUGAAUCAAAGUACAGUGCUAGCAUCACACAUCAUGCAACUAAGUAGGUGUGCCAACUAUAAAACAUAGAUCAAAGAAGCAUUUUCAGUAAUUGAGAUGUUACCAAAGUGAGUCAGUAACCUGAUAUCACAAGAUUACCAAGAUAGUUUGGGAGAGAAAAGAAAUGGCUGCUGGGUUAACUGAGUAAGUGGGAAGUAUACAAGAAGCCUGUCUAGUGACAUCAGAGAUUAGAUACUUAAAUGAUUCCGAAAUUCACAAUUGUAACAAAAAAGUAAACAUGAUUUUAAGCAUAUUUCUACAUUUGUAGUAAAAUUACUGAAAUUAAAAUAUAACCCUUGAAGCUUAUCUGAAGUCAGCAAUAGAAAACAAUUAAGUGGAAAUACCCAAUUUGAAUCAUUUAAUUUGUGACAUUAGUAUAUUAUGUUUGAUAUGCCUUUAUUGUAAAUGAUAGUAAAUUUGAGAGGGAAAAAAUCAGUAUUUGAAUAGCAUAGACUGACAUUUAAACGGGGGUGUCGCCCCAAACUCCAUUCUUUUGCUCUUGAGUUCUCUACCUUCGAAACUGAACGAGACUGUUUACAGCCUUGGUGCGACAUCUAGCUAUGUAGCUAUGGACCACUUACCAAGUGAUCAAUCAGACUGCAGAUUCUAGAAUCUGGAAUAACAAUCUGUUAAGAGGAACUCAGCGGUUUCAACAGCAUCUGUGGAAGGAAAGAAACCAAGGAAUUGCAGAUGUUUUGGGUCAAAGCUUUGCAGCAGUGCCCUGGGACCUGCUGCAGGAUUUUACAAGAUGCUGCUGGACCUACUGAGGUCCUCUAGUAGAUUGUUGAUCAGUAAGACCAUCUAUUCCUACCUCUGCAACACUCAUGAAUCUGUUGCCAUUUUAACCCUCAUCCAUGCCUUUGUGAUCUCUUGAUGUAUUUCACACAGUGUUGACCUUGCCAAUUUCAUCCCUGUAUGUUUGAAAUCACUUAAAGCAUUACUGUCCAUAUUUUCACUUCUACUGAGUACCCUGUAAUGUGUAGCUGUUGCCUUAGUUGGUUUUGGGUUGAGCAGUGCCUAUUAAAAUUUUUGUACUGGGUCCAUGUUUUCAAAUCAAUGGCUGUAAUCUCCCUCUAUUCCACAGCCCUUUGAGAAAUCUGCAUUUCCCUAAUUCUGGCCUCUUGAUUAUUCCUGAAUUUAACCACAUACUGACAUAUGUGCUUCAGCUGCCAAGAUUUUAAGAUCUGGAAUUCCCUCCACUAACCUCUUUGACAUUCUUAUUUAAGAUAUUGCUUGUAAUCUCCUUUUUGCAAGCUU